GGGCUUCUCGGAGUUUCCGCCUGAUUGGCUGGUUCUCUGUCAGGAGAGCUGCCCUCCCUUCCAUUCCUGUCCAGGAACUCUCCAAGCUUUGCACUGUGGUGAGAUGAUGUCACAAAGCUACCAUUAUGACAACAGAAGCAGCAAGAUCAGCACAGUGUUGUGCUGGAGAUGAAAGUACAGUACUUGUGAAGCAAUUCACAUGAGAAGCUGAAGGUCUGGUUUGGGACACACUCUUAUGAAUAUGGAGGAAAUUGAAGGAAAGAGGAAGAGAUGACAAGACUCUAAACAGGUUGACAGGAACUAGGACUGACAGAUGGGAGCUCACACCAUCUUGUGAACUUCCAACCUUCAGGUCAGCAGUUCAACAAUACAAGGUAUUAACCCAUUACACCACCGCAGCCCUAUGUUUGUUGGAAAGUGAGGCUUCCCAGGCCUUAUGGGGAAUGGGUAGGAUCAGAGAAACAUUUUUAU